ACGGCCAUAUCUCGUUGAAACAUCGGUUCCGGUACGAUCAUCGACAUGAAGCCACAUCGAGCCUGGUCAGUACUUAGAUGAGUGACCGCUUAGGAAUACCA